GACGAACGCUGGCGGCGUGCUUAACACAUGCAAGUCGUACGGUAAGGCCCUUUCGGGGGUACACGAGUGGCGUACGGGUGCGUAACACGUGUGUAACCUGCCCACAACUUUGGGAUAACGCUAGGAAACUGGUGCUAAUACUGGAUAUGUGCUCCUGCUGCUUGGUGGGGGUUGGAAAGCUCCGGCGGUUGUGGAUGGACUCGUGGCCUAUCAGCUUGUUGGUGGGGUAGUGGCCUACCAAGGCGGCGACGGGGAGCCGGCCUGAGAGGGUGACCGGCCACAUGCGGACUGGGAUACGGCCCAGAAUCCCACGGGAAGGAGGUGUGGGGAAGAAUGCGCAAUGGGCGCGAGCCUGAUGCAGCAGCGCCGCGUGCGGGGUGACGGCCUUCGGGUUGUAAACCGCAUUCAGCAGAGACGAAGCAUUUUGUGACGGUACCUGCAGAAGAAGCACCGGCUAACUACGUG
rnacentral:rRNA from 1 species